CAGGGGACAGUGGCAUCUUCCCCUCGGGCAGAGGCUGGGAGAGGGGCACAGAGGGCAAUAGCGCCUUCCCCUCAGGCAUGGACCAGGAGAGCAGUACAGGGGGCAAAUGGCACUUUUUAGUCCAGGCAGAGAUGAGGAUAGGAGUAGAGGGGACAAUAGCAUCUUCCUCUCAGGUAGAGAGCAGGAGGGUGGUACAGAGUGACAGAAUGGUGCCUUCGCCUCAGGAGGAAUAGUGCACAUAUCCAUGGAGUAACUGAUGCAGAUGACACAGGGACUAUUGCAGACACUCAGGGAAAUGUUAAGAUACGGCAACGUUUGAUUUACCACCACUUACACAAAGAGUUCAAACCUUCACAAUCUCCCGGAUUUAACCAACCCACGUGGCAGGGAAGGGGCACCGAUCCUGCCCCCACCUCACCCCACGGACGAUGCCGGUCACACACCGACCCACGAGGCUGCACCCCGCCAGGACAACCCAACCCCACCAGCAGCAGUUUGGUGGUUGAUCCCUGGGGGGGAAAAACCCUCUCUUUGGUGUCAGGAGCUCCUCUGCCCACCCUGGGCACUGGGAAGGGGCGGCCGCUGGCAGCCCCCAGCAUCCUCCUCGCCGUGUCCCUCCCAGGGAACUGAGCCCUUUUUGGCUCCACUCAUCCUUCGGAUGUUCUCCUGUGGUUGGAAAUGCACUGGAGGAGCUGGGAGCAGCUCAGUAGCAUCUCAGGGGGUUCUGGAAGUGCUGUCUCAGGGUUUGCCCGUGGGCGCUCCUAAAUGGCAGGGUGGGCUUUGGGACAAGACGUUGACAUCCAGGUUGCCACCCCCCAGGGCUGUGUUAUGCUGCUUUUGCUGGCACGUGCCAUAAACCAUCUGCUGGGAAUCAGCCUUGGGUGGCAGCACAGUGACAGGGCAGGAAGGUGCCCUGGCUCCAGUACCGGCAACUGAGCACCCCAUCUCCACACACCCAGGAUGGGCUGAGGCAGCCACCACCAGCACCCAAAUCAGCCCUGGGAGGGCAGCGAUACCAGGGAAAACCAGAGAGCACCACACUGCUUGUCUGUGACAGCCUCAACAAUCUUUAAAGUA